AGACUGGUAGGUUAAAUAUAGACUAAGGGGUUCAUGAUCCCUGGGUAUACUCAUGUAAGUAUCUAGUUGA
rnacentral:tRNA from 1 species